rnacentral:rRNA from 1 species
AGAGUUUGAUCCUGGCUCAGGACGAACGCUGGCGGCGCGCCUAACACAUGCAAGUCGAACGAGCGAGAGAGAGCUUGCUUUCUCGAGCGAGUGGCGAACGGGUGAGUAACGCGUGAGGAACCUGCCUCAAAGAGGGGGACAACAGUUGGAAACGACUGCUAAUACCGCAUAAGCCCACGGGUCGGCAUCGACCAGGGGGAAAAGGAGCAAUCCGCUCUGAGAUGGCCUCGCGUCCGAUUAGCUAGUUGGUGAGGUAAUGGCCCACCAAGGCAACGAUCGGUAGCCGGACUGAGAGGUUGAACGGCCACAUUGGGACUGAGACACGGCCCAGACUCCUACGGGAGGCAGCAGUGGGGAAUAUUGCACAAUGGGGGAAACCCUGAUGCAGCGACGCCGCGUGGAGGAAGAAGGUCUUCGGAUUGUAAACUCCUGUUGUUGGGGAAGAUAAUGACGGUACCCAACAAGGAAGUGACGGCUAACUACGUGCCAGCAGCCGCGGUAAAACGUAGGUCACAAGCGUUGUCCGGAAUCACUGGGUGUAAAGGGAGCGCAGGCGGGAAGACAAGUUGGAAGUGAAAUCUAUGGGCUCAACCCAUAAACUGCUUUCAAAACUGUUUUUCUUGAGUAGUGCAGAGGUAGGCGGAAUUCCGGUGUAGCGUGGAAUGCGUAGAUAUCGGGAGGAACCCAGUGCGAAGGCGUACUGGGCACACUGACGCUGGCUCGAAAGUGUGGGUAGCAAACAGGAUUAGAUACCCUGGUAGUCCACACCGUAAACGAUGAUUACUAGGUGUUGGAGGAUUGACCCCUUCAGUGCCGCAGUUAACACAAUAAGUAAUCCACCUGGGGAGUACGACCGCAAGGUUGAAACUCAAAGGAAUUGACGGGGGCCCGCACAAGCAGUGGAGUAUGUGGUUUAAUUCGACGCAACGCGAAGAACCUUACCAAGUCUUGACAUCCCUUGACAGACAUAGAAAUAUGUAUUCUCUUCGGAGCAAGGAGACAGGUGGUGCAUGGUUGUCGUCAGCUCGUGUCGUGAGAUGUUGGGUUAAGUCCCGCAACGAGCGCAACCCUUAUGGUCAGUUACUACGCAAGAGGACUCUGGCCAGACUGCCGUUGACAAAACGGAGGAAGGUGGGGAUGACGUCAAAUCAUCAUGCCCUUUAUGACUUGGGCUACACACGUACUACAAUGGCGUUAAACAAAGAGAAGCAAGACCGCGAGGUGGAGCAAAACUCAGAAACAACGUCCCAGUUCGGACUGCAGGCUGCAACUCGCCUGCACGAAGUCGGAAUUGCUAGUAAUCGUGGAUCAGCAUGCCACGGUGAAUACGUUCCCGGGCCUUGCACACACCGCCCGUC